GAUGAACGCUGGCGGCGUGCCUAAUACAUGCAAGUCGAGCGAACAGACGAGGAGCUUGCUCCUCUGACGUUAGCGGCGGACGGGUGAGUAACACGUGGAUAACCUACCUAUAAGACUGGGAUAACUUCGGGAAACCGGAGCUACUACCGGAUAAUAUAUUGAACCGCAUGGUUCAAUAGUGAAAGACGGUUUUGCUGUCACUUAUAGAUGGAUCCGCGCCACAUUAGCUAGUUGGUAAGGUAACGGCUUACCAAGGCAACGAUGCGUAGCCGACCUGAGAGGGUGAUCGGCCACACUGGAACUGAGACACGGUCCAGACUCCUACGGGAGGCAGCAGUAGGGAAUCUUCCGCAAUGGGCGAAAGCCUGACGGAGCAACGCCGCGUGAGUGAUCAAGGUCUUCGGAUCGUAAAACUCUGUUAUUAGGGAAGAACAAAUGUGUAAGUAACUAUGCACGUCUUGACGGUACCUAAUCAGAAAGCCACGGCUAACUACGUG
rnacentral:rRNA from 1 species